AUUGAGAUUAAAAAUUAGAACUCUAA
rnacentral:piRNA from 1 species